AUGGACGAAACCCUCGCCACCGUCCUCUCCUACCUCCCGCCUCCCUCGGUCUCCACCACCGCAUCCCCGUCCUCCUCGUCCACCGCCUCCGAUGACGAUGACCGCAUCAACUGCCUCCCGGACGUGCUCCUCCGCAACAUCAUCUCCCGCCUCCCCACCAAGGACGCGGCCCGCACCACCAUCCUCUCCUCCCGCUGGCGCAGCCUCUGGGCUUCCACCCCACUCCGGCUCGACGACGCUGGAAUCGUUCCUACCGCCGUCACCGCCGCGCUGAACUCCCACCCGGGCCCGGUCACUUCCGCCCGCCUCUCCUCCGAGCACCUCGCUUACCAGGAACCCGACGUCCUCGACUCCUGGUUCGCCUCCCUCGCAGCCAAGAACGUCGAGGAACUCUCCGUCGUCAACGGAUCCUGGCCCGCUGAAUGUGAGUGGCGUCCUCCCCCCGGCCUCCUUGGAUGCGCGUCCCUCCGCCGCCUCUGGCUCGGGCUCUGCCAGUUCCCGGACAUUUCCGGCCUCGCUUCGGCCUUCCCCAGCCUGCAAGAGCUCGGGAUUGUCCAUUGCUCCAUGCAGGACCGCGAGCUCCACGCUGUGCUCCCGCGCUGCCCCGAGCUUGAGAGGCUCGCUUUCGUGCUGACACAGGACUACCCAAGGUACAUCCACAUCUGGUCAGGGAGCCUCCAGUCCCUGGUUGUGUGGAGGUCCAUGGUCAGAGAGGUGCACCUUGACGAUGCCCCAAACUUGGAGCGGUUGCUGUUGGAGCCGAUUGGCGGUGCCUCUACUCACGUCAAGAUUAUUAAUGCACCGAGGCUGAAAAUUUUCGGGUACUUUGACGUUGGACUGCAUCAGCUCAAGAUCGGCCCCACUGUGAUCAAGGAUGGGAUAGGGAUGAAGGUGAAGCCAAAUGCGAUGGUUCGGACCCUCAGGACAUUGGCAUUGAAGGUGCAGUUUGGAGAUGAGAAGCAAGUCAAGCUGGUGCCCCUCUUGCUUAGAUGCUUCCCAUGCCUAGAAACCUUGUAUAUCAAGUCAUCUCCUUCUGAAUCACCAACCAAUGUUGAUGUGGACUUCUGGGAUCAAGUAGGCCACACUGAAUGUGUUACCUCACAUAUUAAGAAGUUUGUGUUCGAAGCUGCCCGAGGAGAGGAUACCGAGCUGGCAUUUGUCAAGUUUGUCAUGGAAAGAGCCCAAAUGUUGGAGGUGAUGCGUGUUUUCGUGGAUGAUGGUUGCUCUAGAGACGUUGUGCUAAGUCGUUUAUCUUCAGAAGGAUGUGUGUCUGCAGAUGCUAGCGUGGUGGUGGAGAGGCAAGACAUGUCCCAUGCCUGGAGCUUCGAAAGAGCUAGCAACAUGUCACAGUGUGACCCCUUUGGUUGCUAA
rnacentral:rRNA from 1 species